rnacentral:rRNA from 1 species
UACAGAGGGUGCGAGCGUUAAUCGGAAUUACUGGGCGUAAAGCGUGCGCAGGCGGUUCGUUGUGUCGGCGGUGAAAGCCCCGGGCUCAACCUGGGAAUGGCCGUUGAAACUGGCGAACUGGAGUGUGGCAGAGGGGGUGGAAUUCCGCGUGUAGCAGUGAAAUGCGUAGAGAUGCGGAGGAACACCGAUGGCGAAGGCAGCCCCCUGGGCUAACACUGACGCUGAGGCACGAAAGCGUGGGUAGCAAACAGG